rnacentral:tRNA from 1 species
GGGCGAGUGGCGGAAUGGCAGACGCUGAGGACUUAAAAUCCUCUGGGGUAAGACCCAUGCGGGUUCGACUCCCGCCUCGCCCA